rnacentral:rRNA from 1 species
GACGUAGACCCGAAACCGGGCGACCUACCCAGGAGCAGGAUGAAGCGAAAGUAAAAUUUCGUGGCGGUCCGAACCCACGAGCGUUGAAAAGCUCGGGGAUGACUUGUGGGUAGCGGUGAAAUUCCAAUCGAGCCCGGAGAUAGCUGGUUCUCCCCGAAAUAGCUUUAGGGCUAGCCUCAAGGUGAGAGAUACGGAGGUAGAGCACUGAAUGUCCUAGGGGGUAUUGCACCUACCGAAGACUAUCAAACUCCGAAU